ACCGUGACAAGAAUCAGUAGCAAGGUGAUUUAGUGGUGAAGGAUGAUUCAGUCAGUUAUUUACAGAUAAUCAUGGUCACUGACCAAACAAACACACUAAACGUGUCAGGCACACAGAGUGAAGGCGAGUGGAGAAGGGAAACGUAGAGGGGUGUGUUGAAGCAUGCACCUCCCUUUCCUCUGAUCUUUAUUAGUUCUGACACUGAAGUCUCAUCUUUCAAAACUCCAAACUGACAGCGAACUCUAAGCUCUACUGAACACCCUCUGGAUUCACACAGAGAUUCCUCACCAGCGACCGGGAUGUGGAUUAUGCUUUUGGGACUCGCCUCUGGAUUACUGGUCUCCUCGAGAUCAGAAGAUACCACAGGUAAGAAAAGCCACCACAGGAACAUUAUACAUCUGACUUUAUCGACUACGAAUUUUACAGAGUAUGAAUGGAGUAGUGUCUGUAUGCCUGAGUACAGAUAAACAGCUGCUCAACAGCUGCCCUGAAGAAAGACAGAUACAAUGAACACCAGUAAAGAGCCAGAGGAGUUUAAGCUGUUUGAAAAGCGAGUGAAAGAAAGGAAGAAAGAUGGGGAAUGACUAAUGGCUGGUUUCAGAUUUUCCUUAAAAAAAAUAAAAUAAAAAAUAAAAAUAUAUAUACAACAGUCCACACACACACACAUAAAAAUGUUCAUCUAGUGUUGUAGCAUCUCUGAGUGUUGUCAUGCAAGCAAGAAAUGAAAGCUCCUCCAAAAAUGCACUCUUUUCAUAAACAGUUACUUUGGUAACAUUUUGUUCUGAAGUUUGUCACAUGUAACAUUAGUUCUUGAAGCUUUGACGGCUGACUCGACACACUUGAGUGGAUAAAUCUGAUAAACCUUGCUGCUAUGGUGUAUUAUUUUAUCUCUUCUUCACAUCUUAAAUCCAUUCUGAGGUUAUCUGUGAUUGAACUAUUGAUGAAAGCAAUACCAGUGAAUACCUAAAUGGAGAACAAAAUGAAACUCGCUCGUGUCCGCCAAAACGAACGCCGGACGCUCUGCAGAAAACGCCCAGCUGGGAGCGUGUUUUCAGUAGAGAUGCGGUUGCUAAAGUUUCAUCUUUGGAACACAGCGAAAUAUGAAAACUUUUCGCAUGUGCUUGCGAUUCCGGUCUGGCGCAUUCGCAUAGAAUGGAAGCUAAUGGAACAAAAAGUGUAGUGUGACCGCGGCUGGACACGGAAUAUCCGCUCAAGUAACGAGGCGGACUCAUCCAGCGGCGGACCGGCCAUCUGUCCAUCACCCGUCCCUUAAAAUACGGAAUCGUCCCGUAUCUGAUCAAAACGGGACGCGAUUUGUCCCGUAUUUUACAAAGGGCAACACAUA
ensembl:lncRNA